AAUUAUUUCUUACUUAUAAUUUUUUUUUUAAUUGGAGAARAAUCUUUUUAUUUAGUAUUUUAAUGAAAAAUGAAUUUUUGUUAUAGUUAAUUAGUACUGUGAGGGAAUUGAUGAAAUAAUUGAAAAAUUAUUUUUGGUUAAGUAUACUUGAUUUGUAGUACCUUUUGUAUCAGGGUUAAUUAAAUAAUAAAAUUUAUUUUAAUAUCCCGAUUUUAAAAGAGCUAAUCUUUUAUUAUAGUUAAUGUUACAUAAUUAUUAUAAAUAGUGAUUAGAGGAGAAAUUUUAUUCGUUUUUAAGGGUAUCUGGUUUUUUAAGAAUUAAAUUUAAUUUAGCUUUAAUAUUUAAUUAUUAUAAUUUUUUAUACAGUUAUUUAUUAAAAUAAAAAUUAUAGGGGAUAAGCUCUAUAUUUAGUCUAAAAAUUUUUUAUUUAUUUAAUUUAUGUAGGUUUAAGAAUAUCCACCAUUAAUAAAAGUGUUAUAAUUUAUUUUUUUUAAAAAAAAUUUUUUUUAAUUGUUUUAGUAUAUUAUUAAAAUUUCAGAAUUAAUUUUUUAUUMUGAGUAAUAAUGAUUAAAUUAGUAUAAUUAUAUGUAUGAUUAAUUUUAUUUUAAAUGAUAAAAUAAGGAAUUCGGCAAAUUUAAUUCUCGCCUGUUUAACAAAAACAUGUCCUUUUGAGUUUUAUUGAAGGUCUGACCUGCCCAGUGAUGAUUUUAACGGCCGCGGUAUACUGACCGUGCAAAGGUAGCAUAAUCAUUAGUCUUUUAAUAGGGGGCUGGAAUGAAGGGUUUAACGAGGAAUUGACUGUCUCAUUUUAUAUGAAUUAGAAUUUAAUUUUUUAGUCAAAAAGCUAAAAUAUUAUUGGAAGACGAGAAGACCCUAUAGAGCUUCAUAAUUUUUGCUUAUAUAAUAUUAUAUUAAUUUUGUUAGGUUAAUAAAUUAUUUUGUUGGGGUGACAAAAAUAUAAAUUUAACUUUUUUAUUUAAAUAUCAUUGAUUUAUGUAUAUUAGAUCCAUUAUUAUUGAUUGUUAGAUUAAGUUACCUUAGGGAUAACAGCGUAAUCCUCCUCCAGAGUUCAUAUUUACAGGAAUGGGCUUGCGACCUCGAUGUUGGAUUAAGAGUAUAAUUAGGUGUAGCUGCUUAAAGUGUAGGUCUGUUCGACCUUUAAAUUCUUACAU
rnacentral:rRNA from 1 species